GCGGCUGUGGCUUACUGGUCACGGUGUUCGCUUUGUAAGUGAAUGGUCUUGGGUUCGAUUCCCAUGUGCUCCCA
rfam:Culex pipiens quinquefasciatus supercont3.637 genomic scaffold, whole genome shotgun sequence.